AGAGUCAAGCCUUCAUUAAGACAAAUGUAUACCAAGUCCCUGCGUUCUCUGGCCUUUACUCCCUCAGUCCCUACCUUUUCUCCUGACGGGUAUUGCCAUACUUGUCCAAGAGACAUGGAGAGCAUCCCACUUUAUAGCAAACCAAAGGAUCAAGUUGCCACACCUAUCAGAUGUACCCCACACUCAGGGCUUGGGCUGAUGCAAACAUCCCAUACACAGUCCAGUCGCCUGUCCACCUAGUUGUAUCCCACCAUAAGCCAUUUCCAACCUGUAGGCCCAGCCCACUUGCACUUCCAUCCUCUGCCCAAACCUGCUCUGUCAGUAUUAGCACUAACAAGAGAGUCCUAUUUGACCAGAUUUUACUGAAAAUUUACAAACAAUAUGAAAGAUCUCCUUUCUAAAAACUACCUAUCCUGUAGAAAAGUUUGCCAAUGAAAAUUACCUUUAUGAACCCAGGGAACAACUCAAAAUAACAAUCUCAAUAAAGUUUUUAAUUAAAAAAAAAAGAACAA
rnacentral:lncRNA from 1 species